AACGGAUAUCUUGGCUCGCAACGAUGAAGAACGCAGCGAAAUGCGAUACGUAGUGUGAAUUGCAGAAUUCCGCGACAUCGAGUCUUUGAACGCAAGUUGCGCCCGGGGCUCGACCCAGGGCAUUUCUGCCAGAGUCACCGCGACACCCACCAAUUUUUC
rnacentral:rRNA from 1 species